rnacentral:rRNA from 1 species
UACGAAGGGGGCUAGCGUUGCUCGGAAUUACUGGGCGUAAAGCGCACGUAGGCGGAUACUUAAGUCAGGGGUGAAAUCCCGGGGCUCAACCCCGGAACUGCCUUUGAUACUGGGUAUCUCGAGUCCGGAAGAGGUGAGUGGAAUUCCGAGUGUAGAGGUGAAAUUCGUAGAUAUUCGGAGGAACACCAGUGGCGAAGGCGGCCCGCUGGGCAGUGGCUGACGCUGAAGCGCGACAGUGUGGGGAGCAAACAGG